UCCUGGGUCUGCCACUCCUCCUGUCUGUCUCACUUCACACCUGGACCUAUUCUGCAAUCAUGCUCACCUGGUCUUCAUCUCCAAUCAACUCCCCUUCAUAAACCCUUGGAUUCCCUGCUGUCGGUGCCAGAUCGUACUACGCACUACUGUGUUAUCCGGAUCCCUCACUCCAGUUCGCCUGCUUCGCUCCUUCCCCGGCAACCUCAUCCAAUACCCGCCUCCUCGCCUCGUUCAAUAAACCCUUUUUCCUUCAACUCAA